rnacentral:rRNA from 1 species
GGAGGGCAAGUCUGGUGCCACCAGCCGCGGUAAUUCCAGCUCCAAAAGUGUAUAUUUAAGUUGUUGCGGUUGAAAAGCUCGUAGUUGGAUAUAGGGACAGUCAGGUCGGUCGGUCGAAAGGCCAGCACUGGCUUGGUUGUCCUAUGAGGUCGGCGCCUUCGCGGUGCUCUUAACUGAGUGUUGCGGCGGUCCGGCAAGUUUACCUUGAAAAAAUUAGAGUGUUCAAAGCAGGCUUUACGCUUGUAUAAUGUUGCAUGGAAUAAUGGAAUAGGACCUCGGUUCUAUUUUGUUGGUUUUCGGAGCACGAGGUAAUGAUUAAUAGGAACGGACGGGGGCAUCCGUACUGUGCCGUUAGAGGUGAAAUUCUUGGAUCGGCGCAAGACGAACGACUGCGAAAGCAUUUGCCAAGAAUGUUUUCUUUAAUCAAGAGCGAAAGUCAGAGGUUCGAAGACGAUCAGAUACCGUCCUAGUUCUGACCUUAAACGAUGCCGACUAGCGAUCGGGCAGUGUCGAAUAUAAGAACUGUCCGGCAGCUUCCGGGAAACCAAAGUGUUUGGGUUCCGGGGGAAGUAUGGUUGCAAAGCUGAAACUUAAAGGAAUUGACGGAAGGGCACCACCAGGAGUGGAGCCUGCGGCUUAAUUUGACUCAACACGGGAAAUCUCACCCGGCCCGGGACACAGCGAGGAUUGACAGAUUGAGAGCUCUUUCUUGAUUCUGUGGGUGGUGGUGCAUGGCCGUUCUUAGUUGGUGGAGCGAUUUGUCUGGUUAAUUCCGAUAACGAACGAGACUCUUACUUGCUAAAUAGCUGCUCGACCUUUUACGGUCGGAGACAACUUCUUAGAGGGACUAGUGGCGUUUAGCCACACGAGAUUGAGCAAUAACAGGUCUGUGAUGCCCUUAGAUGUUCGGGGCCGCACGCGCGCUACACUGACCGGAUCAUCGUGUGUUCCCUAGGCCGAAAGGUCCGGGUAAUCCGUUGAACCCCGGUCGUGCUAGGGAUAGGGACUUGCAAUUGUUUCCCUUGAACGAGGAAUUCCCAGUAAGCGCGAGUCAUUAGCUUGCGUUGAUUACGUCCCUGCCC